CCCCGUAGCCAAGUUACAGGCGCUAGAGCAUCCGCCUUCUAAGCGGACGAUCGAGGUUCGAUUCCUCGCGGGGGCA
rnacentral:tRNA from 1 species